rnacentral:tRNA from 1 species
GGGGCAUUGGCGCAGUUGGUAGCGCUCUUCCAUGGCAUGGAAGAGGUCAGGGGUUCGAAUCCCCUAUGCUCCA